GCUGGCGGCGUGCUUAACACAUGCAAGUCGAACGAACCUUCGGGUUAGUGGCGGACGGGUGAGUAACGCGUGAGAAUCUGCCCUCAGGAGGGGGAUAACGGUUGGAAACGACCGCUAAUACCCCAUAUGCCUACUGGUGAAAUGAAUUUCGCCUGAGGAUGAGCUCGCGUCUGAUUAGCUUGUUGGUGAGGUAAUGGCUCACCAAGGCUUCGAUCAGUAGCUGGUCUGAGAGGAUGAUCAGCCACACUGGGACUGAGACACGGCCCAGACUCCUACGGGAGGCAGCAGUGGGGAAUUUUCCGCAAUGGGCGAAAGCCUGACGGAGCAACGCCGCGUGAGGGACGAAGGCCUCUGGGCUGUAAACCUCUUUUCUCAAGGAAGAAGAUAUGACGGUACUUGAGGAAUAAGCCACGGCUAAUUCCGUGCCAGCAGCCGCGGUAAUACGGGAGUGGCAAGCGUUAUCCGGAAUUAUUGGGCGUAAAGCGUCCGCAGGCGGCUUUUCAAGUCUGCUGUUAAAGCGUGGAGCUUAACUCCAUCAUGGCAGUGGAAACUGAAAGGCUUGAGUAUGGUAGGGGCAGAGGGAAUUCCCGGUGUAGCGGUGAAAUGCGUAGAUAUCGGGAAGAACACCAGUGGCGAAGGCGCUCUGCUGGGCCAUUACUGACGCUCAUGGACGAAAGCCAGGGGAGCGAAAGGGAUUAGAUACCCCUGUAGUCCUGGCCGUAAACGAUGAACACUAGGUGUCGGGGGAAUCGACCCCUUCGGUGUCGUAGCUAACGCGUUAAGUGUUCCGCCUGGGGAGUACGCACGCAAGGUGUGAACUAAAAAGAGAAUGCG
rnacentral:rRNA from 1 species